GAAUUUUGGACAAUGGGCGAAAGCCUGAUCCAGCAAUGCCGCGUGCAGGAAGAAGGCCUUCGGGUUGUAAACUGCUUUUGUACGGAACGAAAAGGUCUGCCCUAAUACGGUGGGCUCAUGACGGUACCGUAAGAAUAAGCACCGGCUAACUACGUGCCAGCAGCCGCGGUAAUACGUAGGGUGCGAGCGUUAAUCGGAAUUACUGGGCGUAAAGCGUGCGCAGGCGGUUAUAUAAGACAGUUGUGAAAUCCCCGGGCUCAACCUGGGAAUUGCAUCUGUGACUGUAUAGCUAGAGUACGGUAGAGGGGGAUGGAAUUCCGCGUGUAGCAGUGAAAUGCGUAGAUAUGCGGAGGAACACCGAUGGCGAAGGCAAUCCCCUGGACCUGUACUGACGCUCAUGCACGAAAGCGUGGGGAGCAAACAGGAUUAGAUACCCUGGUAGUCCACGCCCUAAACGAUGUCAACUGGUUGUUGGGUCUUUUAUUACUCAGUAACGAAGCUAACGCGUGAAGUUGACCGCCUGGGGAGUACGGCCGCAGGUUG
rnacentral:rRNA from 1 species